rnacentral:rRNA from 1 species
AGCGGGUGUGAGAGCACGACCCGCGCCACUGGCACUGAGACACUGGCCAGACUCCUACGGGAGGCUGCAGUCGAGGAUCUUCGGCAAUGGGCGCAAGCCUGACCGAGCGACGCCGCGUGUGCGAUGAAGGCCUUCGGGUUGUAAAGCACUGUCGAGGGGGAGGAAAGCCGCAAGGCCUGACCUAUCCCUGGAGGAAGCACGGGCUAAGUUCGUGCCAGCAGCCGCGGUAAGACGAACCGUGCGAACGUUGUUCGGAAUCACUGGGCUUAAAGGGCGCGUAGGCGGGCUGCCAAGUCCGGGGUGAAAUCUUUCGGCUCAACCGGAAAAUAGCCUCGGAGACUGGCGGUCUGGAGGGGGGUAGGGGCAGCUGGAACUUCCGGUGGAGCGGUGAAAUGCGUUGAUAUCGGAAGGAACGCCGGUGGCGAAAGCGAGCUGCUGGACCUUUUCUGACGCUGAGGCGCGAAAGCCAGGGGAACAAACGGGAUUAGAUACCCCGGUAGUCCUGGCCCUAAACGAUGGGUACUAGGUAGUGGACUGGACAUGGGUUCCCUGCCGAAGCGAAAGUGCUAAGUACCCCGCCUGGGGAGUAUGGUCGCAAGGCUGAACUCAA